rnacentral:tRNA from 1 species
UGCCUGGUGGUCCAGUGGCUAAGACUCUGAGCUCCAAAUGCAGGGGGCUCAGGUUCGAUCCCUGGUCAGGAAC